rnacentral:rRNA from 1 species
UACGAAGGGGGCUAGCGUUGCUCGGAAUCGCUGGGCGUAAAGCGCACGUAGGCGGAUCCUUAAGUCGGGGGUGAAAUCCUGGAGCUCAACUCCAGGGCUGCCUUCGAUACUGAGGAUCUCGAGUCCGGGAGAGGUGAGUGGAACUGCGAGUGUAGAGGUGAAAUUCGUAGAUAUUCGCAAGAACACCAGUGGCGAAGGCGGCUCACUGGCCCGGUACUGACGCUGAGACGCGAAAGCGUGGGGAGCGAACAGG